AGAGUUUGAUCCUGGCUCAGGAUGAACGCUGGCGGCGUGCUUAACACAUGCAAGUCGAACGAACCUUCGGGUUAGUGGCGGACGGGUGAGUAACGCGUGAGAAUCUGCCCUCAGGAGGGGGAUAACGGUUGGAAACGACCGCUAAUACCCCAUAUGCCGAGAGGUGAAAUGAAUUUCGCCUGAGGAUGAGCUCGCGUCUGAUUAGUUAGUUGGUGGGGUAAUGGCCUACCAAGACAUCGAUCAGUAGCUGGUCUGAGAGGAUGAUCAGCCACACUGGGACUGAGACACGGCCCAGACUCCUACGGGAGGCAGCAGUGGGGAAUUUUCCGCAAUGGGCGAAAGCCUGACGGAGCAACGCCGCGUGAGGGAUGAAGGCCUCUGGGCUGUAAACCUCUUUUAUCAAGGAAGAAGAUCUGACGGUACUUGAUGAAUAAGCCACGGCUAAUUCCGUGCCAGCAGCCGCGGUAAUACGGGAGUGGCAAGCGUUAUCCGGAAUUAUUGGGCGUAAAGCGUCCGCAGGCGGUCUGUCAAGUCUGCUGUUAAAGCGUGGAGCUUAACUCCAUUUCGGCAGUGGAAACUGACAGACUAGAGUGUGGUAGGGGCAGAGGGAAUUCCCGGUGUAGCGGUGAAAUGCGUAGAUAUCGGGAAGAACACCAGUGGCGAAGGCGCUCUGCUGGGCCAUAACUGACGCUCAUGGACGAAAGCCAGGGGAGCGAAAGGGAUUAGAUACCCCUGUAGUCCUGGCCGUAAACGAUGAACACUACGUGUCGGGGGAAUCGACCCCCUCGGUGUCGUAGCCAACGCGUUAAGUGUUCCGCCUGGGGAGUACGCACGCAAGUGUGAAACUCAAGGAAUUGACGG
rnacentral:rRNA from 1 species